rnacentral:rRNA from 1 species
UAUGGCUCAGAAUGAACGCUGGCGGCAUGGAUUAGGCAUGCAAGUCGAACGUGCUCCCUUCGGGGAGAAAGUGGCGAAAGGGUGAGUAACACGUGAGCAACCUGCCUCCGGAUCCGGAAUAAUCCAGGGAAACUUGGUCUAAAACCGGACGAAGACAUUUGGUCCGCAUGGUCUAAUGUUAAAAUAUUUAUAGUCCGGAGAGGGGCUCGCGGCCCAUUAGCUUGUUGGCGGGGUAAUGGCCCACCAAGGCUACGACGGGUAGGUGGUCUGAGAGGAUGGUCACCCACACUGGGACUGAGACACUGCCCAGACUCCUACGGGAGGCUGCAGUCGAGAAUCUUCCGCAAUGGGCGCCAAGCCUGACGGAGCGAUGCCGCGUGAGGGAUGAAGGCCUUCGGGUUGUAAACCUCUGUCAUCCGGGACGAAAACAAUGACGGUACCGGAAAAGGAAGCCACGGCUAACCACGUGCCAGCCGCCGC